AUACACAUACACAAUAUAUAUGCACUUAUUAACGCAUAACGGUGCAUGUGUGUGUGCAUAUAUGUGUAUAUAUCCAUUGCUAAUUGUAUAUAAUUGAUGCCAAGCAACUGUAUAUAUACUCGCAUAAACAUAUCAGUAUAAACACAUCGUAUAUAUUCACAUAUCAGUACAUACACAACACAUAAACAUGUAUAGUAUAUAUAUCUGUGUGUGUGUGAGUGUGAGUGUGUGUAUGUCUGUAGUAUAUAUAUCUGUGAGUGUGAGUGUGUAUGAGUGUGAGUGUGUGUAAGUGUGAGUGUGUGCGAGUGUGUAUGUGUCUGUGUGUGUAUGAGUGUGAGUGGUGAGUGUGAGUGUAAGUGUGAGUGAGUGUGUGUGUAGUAUAUAAAUUAAUGUAGAUAUACGUUAAUAACUGUAUGAACUGAUACAUCAAUAUAUAGAAAUAUAUAUAUUAGCGCAUUGUAUAGAUACAGUUAUGCACUUUACACAUACACACAUAUCAGUAUAUACACAUCGAAUAUAUACAAACAUCACACACACACACACAUAUCAAUGUAUUCUUUACACACUAAUAGUUGUAUAUACACUGAAAACAAUGAUAUAUAUUGCUAUACAUCAAUACGUACACAAAUUGCUCUAAUAAUUGUGUAUAUCACUGAGAAUAAUACAUAGUCUUAUACAUUAGUGUAUAUAUAAACCCUUUAUACAUGUACAUAUGAGUGUGCAUAUAUAAAUAUCAGUGAACAUAUAUCAGUUUAUACAAAAACUGCAAGCAACAGUAUACAUACAUGCAUAAACAUAUCAGUAUAUACAUAUCGUAUAUAUGCACACAUCAAUCCAUACACAACACGAGUGUGAGUGUGUGUGUGUGUGUGAGUGAGUGAGAGUGUGUGUGUGUGAGUGAGUGAGAGUGAGAGUGUGUGUGUGUAGUAUAUAAAUCAGUGUACAUAAAGAGGUCCGCUUCGAUGAUAAGUUGCAUUCAUGCUUGUUGAAUUACAAGCAAACUCAAUGAAGAUGAAGCUCAUCAACAAUAAUAAAAACAAGUACAAAUAUAUGAUAAACAAUUUAGAUGGACUAUCACAAUUGGGUAUUUUAGCAUAUACCCAAUCCAUCAAGAGAAAAAACCCAUUCUUAUGCCUAAUUCUAUACAAAGUAAUAUGGAAUUUCGCUUAAGCUUAUCUGAUUAGACGUGAUAGCCAGAAGAAAUAAUCUCCUUCUUUAAUACCUGAUUUUAUCACAAUUUGGAAAUUGUAUAUGGUAGGAAAAAUCAUUUACAGAGAAGAUAAUGAUUCGAAUGGUACGAAUUGAGAGGAAAACUAAUCAAAAAGGAGGGGGCAAGGGAUCUGUCCCUUUACCUUGUUGGCUGCAACUGCCACCUGUGCAUUCAUAUACAUAUCAAUGUACAUCUACGCUAAUAACUGUAUAAACUGAUAAAAAGUGUAUGUAUGGUCAUAAACAUCGGUGUAUAUAAAAAUAUAUAUAUGCAAUAUUAAUACAUAAGGGUGCAUGUGCGUACGCAUACCAUGGUUACAUAUAACAGACAAGUUUAUACAUGCACGCAUAAACAUAUCAAUAUAUACAUAUCGUAUAUAUACACACUGUAUAUAUAUAAACUUCUAAUAUAUGUCCUUAUGGUCAUAUAUAUAAGUGUAUAAAGAAUGCAUGUAUUAGUGUAUACAGUAUAUAUACACUUAUCAACGCGUAAAGGUGCAUGUGCAUGCGGAUAUCAGUGCAUACAUAUAUUGAUAAUUGUAUACAUAUACAUAACAAUAUCAGUAUAUACAUAUCGUAUUAUACAUAAACACAUCAGUCGAUACACACCACGCAUAUAUAUGUAGUAUAUAUAUUUGUGAGUGUAAGUGACUGUGAGUGUGAGUGUAAGCGCCAGUGUGUGUGUGUGGGUGAGUGUGAGUGCGAGUGUGUGUG
rnacentral:lncRNA from 1 species